GUGGUUUAAUUCGAUGAUACGCGAGGAACCUUACCUGGGCUCGAACGCGGGGGGAAUGCCGGGAAACCCGGCAGCCGGAGACGGCCGCCCGCGAGGUGCUGCAUGGUUGUCGUCAGCUCGUGCCGUGAGGUGUCGGGUUAAGUCCCAUAACGAGCGCAGCCCCUACCGCCAGUUGCCAGCGGGUAAAGCCGGGGACUCUGGCGGGACUGCCGGCGUAAGCCGAGAGGAAGGCGGGGAUGACGUCAAAUCAGCACGGCCCUUACGUCCAGGGCUACACACGUGUUACAAUGGCCGGUACAGCGGGAUGCGACCCCGCGAGGGGGAGCGGAUCCCGAAAGCCGGUCGUGGUUCGGAUCGGGGUCUGGAACCCGACCCCGUGAAGCCGGAUUCGCUAGUAAUCGCGCAUCAGCCAUGGCGCGGUGAAUACGUUCCCGGGCCUU
rnacentral:rRNA from 1 species